UGUCGCCUUCUCUCCCGUUGCGACAAGGGGAAGGGAGGAAUAGGAUGGAGGGAGGCAGGAUUCGUCAAGAUUCGCGCAGCGAGAAGCGCCUGAAGCUCUUCGGGGUGACGAUUCUAGGCGAUGGCGGUGGCCGGAAGGAGGCGCAGGAUGUGGUGAGGAAGGAGGCGGCGGAGGAAGUGAUGAGGAAGAGUAAAAGCAUGGGAAAUCUGGCCGCCUGCGGCUCCUCGCCGGCCGCCGAGAGCGGCGCCGGCGACAAUGGGUACCUCUCCGACGGCGGUCUCGUCCAGAACUCCACGAGAAGGGGCGGCCGGGAGAGGAAGAGAGGUGUGCCUUGGACAGAAGAAGAACAUCGGACAUUUCUAGCUGGUCUUAAAAUGCUUGGUAAGGGGGAUUGGAGGGGAAUAUCAAGGAAUUUCGUGACCACCAGAACUCCAACUCAAGUAGCCAGUCAUGCUCAGAAAUAUUUCCUUAGGCAGAGUAAUCCCACUAAAAAGAAGCGCAGAUCUAGCCUUUUUGACGUGGUAAUAAGUGAUCCAGCUCCUGAAUCUGAAACUUCUGCCCUCCCAUUGUCAUUGAAAAAAUCCUGUGUAGUUACAGAAGAGGUUAAUCAUCAUCUCCAGGACAGUUUGCUGGCAAAAACCCCAGCUUUUAUUACAACCCAAGCAGCAUCCGAAGUUGCAGAGGGCUCCCUAGCCUUGCCUUUUUUCAAAGACUUAAGAGAAGCAGCAGAAAUUCAAUGUUAAGCAUAUGGUGAGAAUCUCCGGCAACUCGAAGGACCAGGUUGUCCCGACCUUAUUUCUCACUCCUCCGCUAGAUAUUUCCAACCAGGCAUUUACUUCAUUCCAAGCCAGCUUUACUGCAUGUGCCCCAGAUUUCCUCAAAGUAUCCCUCAGUCCUUCAAUCCAGCUGCACCCACACUAUCCAACUCAGUCUACUGCUGCUUCUCCACCACCGGAAAAGGGCAAUUUGGAGCUCAGCAUUGCACCACCUCAGCAGCAUAGCCUGACCAAAUUAUCUUCACCGAAGGCAGCAGAAACAAUCAGUGUCAUUUAAGCUAAUAAGUUUUAAUUAUUUGUUUCUCUUACCUCUUAUGAUCAACUGGUUUUUUAUUCAUGCAUUUUGAUAUAUCAGAAACAAAGCAAGAAAACUCUUUUAUUAUUCCUAUCUUUGAUUUCUGUGCAAUGUGUUUUAUUUGUUGGCCCAUCCUAGGCAACAGUGAUGGCAACUAUUUGUGUGGUUCUAAGAUUCUCUAAUGUUGGUACAUUGGCUGGUGGAAG